GGGUAUGUGGGGAUGGUGGAAGUUUCAUGGACUGGUGGCCUGGCUACCUAAUCUUCUGGCUGGUGUGACAUGCACAUGAGCCAGGAAUGUCAGCAUGUGUUGGGUCCAGGAACACAGUCACUUUCCUUUUUUUCUGAAUGGGAAUAUAUACUGUGCCAUUAUUUGUUGGAAAUCAUUGUCUCUUGAUUUGUACAAGAUGUGAAAGGCAAGAGAUUAUUUUGAGUGUCAAAAGAAACUGAGCAUUUGACCUGUUUGGGGCUGAUACAGACUAUGAGGAUCAUUGUACUAAGAUUAAAUGCAUUUCCCUUUUUCUUUUUCUCUUGGUAUUUAUUCUUCUCUCAUACAAUACAUCCUAACUUGCAGCUUCCUUCCCCUUUCUCUACUUCUUCUAGUCACCACCCUGAAAUCCUCAUUCCUCCAAAUCCACUGCUACCCUGUGUUCCUUCAGAAAAUAGUAGGCCUCCCAGAGAUAUCACCCAAACAUAACAUAACAAGGUGCAAUAACGCUAGGAACAAACCCUCAUAUCAAGGCUGGACAAGGUAACCCAAUAGGAGGAAAGGGGUUCCAAGAGCAAGCAAAAGAGCCAGACACCAGGACUCCUACAGUUAUAAGUCCCACAAACACACCAAGCUAAACAACCAUAGAAUGUAUGCAGAUGACCUGGCACAGAACCAUACAGGCUUCAUGAUUGCCACAAUUUCUCUGAACCCCUAUGCACCCUGCUUUGUUGAUUCUAUGGGCCAAGAUUUCCUUGUUUUCAAAACAUUUCUGUAUCCUACAAUAUUCAUUCCCUCCUUCCACUGGAUUCUUAGAGCUCAUCCUCAUGUUUGGGUAGGGAUCUCUGCAUGUGUUCCCAUCAUCUGCUGAAAGAAGCCUCUAUGAUAACAAUUAGGCUAGGCACAAAUCUUUGAUUAAAACAGAAUAUAGUUAUAGAUCAUCUCAUUGUAUUUUCCUUGGUCAGUUGUACUUUGUCCUUUCCUAGUUUUCUGGACCAUCCUAUUGCAGUUCCUAUCCACCUAGGCUUUGUAAGGCAUGAGCCUCCUUUCAUAGCUUGGGCAACAAUUUACACUAGUCAUUCAUUGGAUAGACACUCAGAGCCACCAUUGCUCCACCAUAUCUUUCAGGCAGGACAAGUGUUAGCUGAGUGUUUUGUGUCUAACUUGGUGUCCCAAUCCUACCACUGGGAGUAUUGUGGGGUUAGAGCAGAUGGUUGGUUCAGCCUCUGUAUUCUUUUUGUUUGUUUGUUUGUUUGUUUGUUUCUCUGUGUAGCUUUUGGAGCCUGUCCUAGAACUCACCUUUUAGAGGAAGCUGGCCUCAAACUCAUAGAGAUCUGCCUGCCUCUGCCUUCUGAGUACUGGGAUUAAAGGUAUGUGCUAUCACUACCCAGCCAGCCUCUGAAUUCUUGAUAACUAGGACUCCUCACUAGGGUCACCCUAUUAGGUUCCAUGAAGUUUGCACUGCACUGUGUCCAUGUCUCCUGCUAAAAUCUCCCCUAUUCCAGUUAUCUCUCUCUGUCUUCUCCUCUGCCCCUUCCUUACUCACCUCAUCAAUCCUGUUCCCAUCUCCAACUGCCUCCAGUGCACCCACAAAAUCUAUUCUAUAUACUUCUCCCAGUGAGAUACAUGCAUAUACCCUAGAGCUGCUCUUCUUACAUAGCCUCUAUGCAUCUGUGGAUUGUACUGUGAUUAACUAUGUUUAUUGUGAGUGUACUUUACUUAACAGCUAAUGUUCAUGUAUGAGUGAGUACAACAUGUUUGUCUAUGGGCUUCUGGGUUUUCUCACAAAAGAUAGUAGAGAACUCAAGAAACUAAACAACAAACCAAAUAAUGCAAUUAUAAUGGGGUAUACCUCUAAAUAGAAUUCUCAGUAGAAGUAUCUAAAGUGGCUGAGAAACACUUGAAAAAAUGUUCAACAUUCUUAGCCAUCAUGCAAAUGCAUAUUGAAACUACUUUGAUCUUUUGUCUUACACUUCUAAGAAUGGUUAAGAUCAAUAACACAAGUGACAGCUAAUGUUGGAAAGGAUAUGGAGCAAGGGAAUUCAUUGCUGUCACAGGUUCAAAUUUAUACAGGCACUGUGGAAAUCAAUAUGAUAUCCUCAGAAAAUUGGGAGUCAAUCUACCUCAAGAUCCAGUUAUAGCAUUUUUGUGCAUAUACCCAAUGUUACUCUUCCAUCUUACCACAAGGACAAUUGCUCAUCUAGGCUCUAUCUGUCUUGGACCUGAUUACACACUUGUCUAUCUUAUUUCUUCUUAGUAGUUAGUUCAUACAAUUUCUCUCAUGUUUACUCUGUAUGGUUGUUUUGUUUACUUGUUUGUGUAUGUUUGUUGAUUGGCAUUUUUCUUGCAAGGUGAUACCCCUUUCAAAGAAUACAGAAUUGACAGAGAUGAACACCCCCUUCAGUUUUCUUUUAAGUGACUUGGUGAUUACAUUAUAACAACUAUGUAAUGGAGUAAGAUAGUGGGCACCAGAAUUGUAAUAAAUAUACUGUCAAAGAAUUAUACAUUUACAAUGUUGUCAGUGUCAUGCUUUCUGUUGUUCACGUGUAUGGAUUGUUUUAGAAUGCAGUGACCUAUGAUGAUGUGCAUGUCAGCUUCACAUGGGAAGAGUGGACUUUGCUAGAUCCUUCCCAGAAGAAUCUCUACAAAAAGGAUACAUUUGGGAAAAUCAUAAUAUUGAAGAACAUUUUCAAAAUUCUAGAAGACAUGUAAGAUAAUUUUCUUGUGCAAGCUGAUAAAAAUAUGCCUGUGAAGAAAUUAUAUUGUGUCCUGGAAAUUUUAAACAAAAGCAACACUGUAAAUAAGUACCACUUAAAGUGCAUUGAGGAUUAUUAAAUUCUCACAAAAACAUAAAUCUCAAUUUCAGGUUGGUGAAUGGCAUUUGCAGGGCAUUCUUUUAAGAACAAUGUCAAAGAAACAAUUUCCCAAAAGAUAUCACCAUUAAAAUCAUAACACCAUGAGAGCUA